ACCCUCUUUCUUAGUCUAGAUCGGCAAAAGUCGAAAAGCCGAAAUGUCGAAAAUCGGUAUUUUGUAGAUUUGCGAGUGUGCGAAUGCUUGUGAGAAAAUCCCAAACCAUAGUGGGCUUGGAGCUGUGAGGGAAUUCGGAGUGGCCACCCGUUCUGAAAGUUUGGUUUUCUUCUGGUGAACUGGACAUCCUAUUAUUUACGUUGAGGUUUGGGUUUUUAAAUGUAAUAAGGCCGCUUAAUUA